AAUAAGUGCAACCAUGAUUUUUUUUAUCUAACUUUGAUCGUCCGUCUUAUUUAAAUUUUUUUUAUAAUUAGCAUUUUUGUUGUUAUGAGAUGAUAAAACAUGAAUAGUACUUUACUCGUGACUUAUGUUUUUAAUUUUUUUCAAAAAAUUUUUAAAUAAGACGAACGGUCAAAGUUGAACGAGGAAGUAUAUUUCACUCUGU
rfam:Oryza sativa (indica cultivar-group) chromosome 10, whole genome shotgun sequence.